rnacentral:rRNA from 1 species
CAGAGAGGAGCUCCGCGCUCCAGGGGGUUCGCCCCCGCCUCUCAACCCUGUGAAAAUCAUACCUAUGUUGCUUUGGCGGGCCUUGGGGUCACGCUCAUGCCAGGUUCGCCUGGCGAGUGCCCGCCGGAAGCCCACCAAAACUCGUUUAAUCUUUGCGGUCAGAGUCCAAACACAAAUAAAGCAAAACUUUCAACAACGGAUCUCUUGGUUCUGGCAUCGAUGAAGAACGCAGCGAAAUGCGAUAAGUAAUGUGAAUUGCAGAAUUCAGUGAAUCAUCGAAUCUUUGAACGCACAUUGCGCCCCUCGGUAUUCCGGGGGGCAUACCUGUUCGAGCGUCGUUACACCUCUCAAGCGUAGCUUGGUAUUGGGCCUCGCUCCCCCCUCGCGGGGGGCGUGCCUGAAAAGUAGUGGCGGCCCGGCGUGGCUUUGAACCUAGUAACAUACCAUCUCGUUCUGAAGGCUCGCGGCGUGGCUUGCCAUAACCCCAUCAUUUUCAAGAAUUGACCUCGGAUCAGGUAGGGAUACCCGCUGAACUUAAGCA